rfam:Salmo salar isolate Sally breed double haploid chromosome ssa20, whole genome shotgun sequence.
UUAUGUCCAAUUUGUAAGUCGCUCUGGAUAAGAGCAUCCGCUAAAUGACUUAAA